GUUGUUGUCAUGCCAACAAGGUGGCCAAAGUAAAACAUGAAAAAACAGAGGAUAGGGCUGUGGAAGAGAUUGAGGGAUUGUGGAAGGCCAGAUAAGAGAAACCUAUUCAGAGUGACUGCUCAUUUCACCCCACUCCAGUGUGACUAGAAUCAAUCCCUGGCUAGUCGCAAAAUAGGCAGAAAGAAUGAAGGCAAGCAUUUGUGUGCUGUGUGUUGAAGACGACUGAAGGCACAAACAAGGCAGACGCAAAAAA